UACGUAGGGGGCAAGCGUUUGUCCGGAUUUAUUGGGCGUAAAGCGCGUGUAGGCGGCUGGGUAGGUCUGCUGUGAAAACUUGAGGCUCAACCUCAAGAGGUCGGUGGAAACCAUCCAGCUAGAGUCCGGAAGAGGAGAAUGGAAUUCCUGGUGUAGCGGUGAAAUGCGCAGAUAUCAGGAGGAACACCGGUGCGAAGGCGGGUCUCUGGGCAUCGUCCUGACGCUGAGGCGCGAAAGCGUGGGGAGCAAACGGG
rnacentral:rRNA from 1 species